rnacentral:rRNA from 1 species
AUUGAACGCUGGCGGCAGGCCUAACACAUGCAAGUCGAGCGGAGCGGCGGACGGGUGAGUAAUGCCUAGGAAUCUGCCUGGUAGUGGGGGAUAACGUCCGGAAACGGGCGCUAAUACCGCAUACUAUCAGAUGAGCCUAGGCCGGAUUAGCUAGUUGGGGGGGUAAAGGCCUACCACGGCGACGAUCCGUAACUGGGCUGAGAGGAUGAUCAGUCACACUGGAAUGUAGACACGGUACAGACUCCGACGGGAGGAAGCAGUGGGGAAUAUGGGACAAUGGGCGAAAGCCUGAUCCAGCCAUGCCGCGUGUGUGAAGAAGGUCUUCGGAUUGUAAAGCACGUUAAGUUGGGAGGCGUUACCAACAGAAUAAGCACCGGCUAACUUCGUGCCAGCAGCCGCGGUAAUAC